CUGCUUCUUUUGGCGUAACUAAAGUUCCCAUGAUAUUAAACUGUACGUCCGGAGGUUUUCUUCUGCAAUUUAGAAGUACUGCUUCUGUUUUAUCGGGUGCUAAUUUUAGCUUUUUGCUGUACAUCCAGUGUACAAUUUUGUCUAGAGUAUCAUUUGUUUUUUCUACUAAAUCCUCUAUGGUUUUUGCAGAUACAAUCACAGCCAAAUCAUCGGCAUAUCCCACGAGCUCGACAUCUUCCGCAACCGACAGUCUCAGGACACUGUCAUACAUUAUAUUCCAUAGCAGUGGUGCGAGCACCGACCCCUGUGGAACCCCGCUGUUUACUUCUAGUAGUUUACCAUGUUCGGUUUAGGAAGAAGAAUCAGUCGUGCUGUUUUCCAGCAAUCCGGAAAGGAUUUUCUCCUUAGACAGGAAUACCAUCUGGUCCAGUGGCUUUACCAGGUUUCAGGCGUUUGGCGGCAAUUAGUAGUUCUUCCAGUGUGAAAUUUUUUAUGGGGUUCUUUAUUGGUUCGGGCCAUACUACUUCAGGAUGGCGCGGAAACAGAUGCACUACAACGUUUUCCAGUUCAUCCUCACCGUUUCCCCAGACGUCGUCAUCAAUUGAGGCACAUAAUUCCUGCCACUUUGAAUGUUUUGAGAUUUUUAUUUCCUUUCGUAGUUUAUCCCUUGCUAUUUUUAGUGUGUUUACCUUAGUUUCUAGGUUUUGUGACAAUGUUGUUUUUGGUCGAGCUCUUGUUACAGCUCGUCUGGCUUUGAUAGAUUCUUUCCGGAGUUGGGCAAUACGAUCGUUCCACCAGUAGCAAGGUCUUCGUUUUGGUGAAAAAGAUUUCUUUAACAUCGCAACGUUGCAUGAUUUUUCAAGACUGUCUUUUAGUUGCUCGGGUUCCACGCUGGGGGUUGGUUUGAAUUAUACUGAUGGCUAUCUGGUAAAUUUGUUUCCCAUUUGAAAGAAAUAAUUUUGUGGUCGCUGAGGGAUUCUGUAUCCAUCGUUGUCCAUCCUUGUAUGUUAUUUGCGACGUUUUGAGAUACUAGUGUUAAGUCUAUGAUUGAUUUUGAUGUACCUCUUUCAAAUGUAUAGUAGUUUGGUUUGUUUUUGGUAAUAAAGUUUAGUUCUGCAA